rnacentral:rRNA from 1 species
AGUGAACGCUGGCGGUAGGCCUAACACAUGCAAGUCGAACGGCAGCACAGUAAGAGCUUGCUCUUACGGGUGGCGAGUGGCGGACGGGUGAGGCAUACAUCGGAAUCUACUUUUUCUUGGGGGAUAACGGAGGGAAACUUACGCUAAUACCGCAUACGACCUACGGGUGAAAGCAGGGGAUCUUCGGACCUUGCGCGAUUGAAUGAGCCGAUGUCGGAUUAGCUAGUUGGCGGGGUAAAGGCCCACCAAGGCGACGAUCCGUAGCUGGUCUGAGAGGAUGAUCAGCCACACUGGAACUGAGACACGGUCCAGACUCCUACGGGAGGCAGCAGUGGGGAAUAUUGGACAAUGGGCGCAAGCCUGAUCCAGCCAUACCGCGUGGGUGAAGAAGGCCUUCGGGUUGUAAAGCCCUUUUGUUGGGAAAGAAAAGCAGCAGGUUAAUACCCCGCUGUUCUGACGGUACCCAAAGAAUAAGCACCGGCUAACUUCGUG